UGUGUGUGUUAGUGGAAGCGUCUGGAAAGGCGCGCGAUACAGGGUGACAGCCCCGUACACAAAAAUGCACAUACUGUGAGCUCGAUGAGUAGGGCGGGACACGUGGUAUCCUGUCUGAAUAUGGGGGGACCAUCCUCCAAGGCUAAAUACUCCUGACUGACCGAUAGUGAACCAGUACCGUGAGGGAAAGGCGAAAAGAACCCCGGCGAGGGGAGUGAAAAAGAACCUGAAACCGUGUACGUACAAGCAGUGGGAGCACGCUUAGGCGUGUGACUGCGUACCUUUUGUAUAAUGGGUCAGCGACUUAUAUUCUGUAGCAAGGUUAACCGAAUAGGGGAGCCGAAGGGAAACCGAGUCUUAACUGGGCGUUAAGUUGCAGGGUAUAGACCCGAAACCCGGUGAUCUAGCCAUGGGCAGGUUGAAGGUUGGGUAACACUAACUGGAGGACCGAACCGACUAAUGUUGAAAAAUUAGCGGAUGACUUGUGGCUGGGGGUGAAAGGCCAAUCAAACCGGGAGAUAGCUGGUUCUCCCCGAAAGCUAUUUAGGUAGCGCCUCGUGAAUUCAUCUCCGGGGGUAGAGCACUGUUUCGGCAAGGGGGUCAUCCCGA
rnacentral:rRNA from 1 species